rnacentral:rRNA from 1 species
UGGGGGAAUAUUGGGGCAAUGGGGGCGCAAGCCUGACCCAGCAACGCCGCGUGAAGGAAGAAGGCCUUCGGGUUGUAAAGCACUUUCGGAGGGGAGGAACAAAUGACGUUACCCUCAGAAGAAGCACCGGCUAACUCCGUGCCAGCAGCCGCGGUAAUACGGAGGGUGCAAGCGUUAAUCGGAAUAACUGGGCGUAAAGGGCAUGCAGGCGGUUUAUCAAGUAGGAUGUGAAAGCCCCGGGCUCAACCUGGGAAUUGCAUUCUAAACUGAUAGACUAGAGUAUUGCAGGGGGAGACGGAAUUCCAGGUGUAGCGGUGGAAUGCGUAGAUAUCUGGAAGAACACCAAAGGCGAAGGCAGUCUCCUGGGCAAAUACUGACGCUCAUAUGCGAAAGCGUGGGUAGC